UACGGAGGGAGCUAGCGUUGUUCGGAAUUACUGGGCGUAAAGCGCACGUAGGCGGCUUUGCAAGUUAGAGGUGAAAGCCCGGGGCUCAACCCCGGAAUUGCCUUUAAAACUGUGGGGCUUGAACACGGGAGAGGUGAGUGGAAUUCCGAGUGUAGAGGUGAAAUUCGUAGAUAUUCGGAAGAACACCAGUGGCGAAGGCGGCUCACUGGACCGUUGUUGACGCUGAGGUGCGAAAGCGUGGGGAGCAAACAGG
rnacentral:rRNA from 1 species